rnacentral:rRNA from 1 species
UGGUGAGUGAUCUGUCUGGUUAAUUCCGUUAACGAACGAGAUCUUAACCUACUAAAUAGAAACUCUAGCAGUUUUCUUCUUAGAGGGACACUUAGUCGUUUAGAUCAAGGAAGUUUGAGGUAAUAACA